GGGGAAUUUUGGACAAUGGGGGCAACCCUGAUCCAGCCAUGCCGCGUGAGUGAAGAAGGCCUUCGGGUUGUAAAGCUCUUUCAGGUGGAAAGAAAUCUCCCGGGUGAAUACCCCGGGAGGAUGACGGUACCAUCAGAAGAAGCACCGGCUAACUACGUGCCAGCAGCCGCGGUAAUACGUAGGGUGCGAGCGUUAAUCGGAAUUACUGGGCGUAAAGCGUGCGCAGGCGGUUGUGUAAGACAGAUGUGAAAUCCCCGGGCUCAACCUGGGAACUGCGUUUGUGACUGCACAACUAGAGUACGGCAGAGGGAGGUGGAAUUCCGCGUGUAGCAGUGAAAUGCGUAGAGAUGCGGAGGAACACCGAUGGCGAAGGCAGCCUCCUGGGCCAGUACUGACGCUCAUGCACGAAAGCGUGGGGAGCAAAC
rnacentral:rRNA from 1 species